rnacentral:rRNA from 1 species
UCUGGCGCCUUCGGUGUCCGAGUUGUAAUUUGAAGAUUGUAACCUUGGGGUUGGCUCUUGUCUAUGUUUCUUGGAACAGGACGUCACAGAGGGUGAGAAUCCCGUGCGAUGAGAUGCCCAAUUCUAUGUAAGGUGCUUUCGAAGAGUCGAGUUGUUUGGGAAUGCAGCUCUAAGUGGGUGGUAAAUUCCAUCUAAAGCUAAAUAUUGGCGAGAGACCGAUAGCGAACAAGUACAGUGAUGGAAAGAUGAAAAGAACUUUGAAAAGAGAGUGAAAAAGUACGUGAAAUUGUUGAAAGGGAAGGGUUUGAGAUCAGACUCGAUAUUUUGUGAGCCUUGCCUUCGUGGCGGGGUGACCCGCAGCUUAUCGGGCCAGCAUCGGUUUGGGCGGUAGGAUAAUGGCGUAGGAAUGUGACUUUACUUCGGUGAAGUGUUAUAGCCUGCGUUGAUGCUGCCUGCCUAGACCGAGGACUGCGAUUUUAUCAAGGAUGCUGGCAUAAUGAUCCC